rnacentral:rRNA from 1 species
AUGGCUGGAGGGCCGAUUAAGCUGUGGAAUGAGUGGGCGACCCAAAUCCUCGUCCUACUCAGCUUUGCGCUGCAGAUUUUCCUCUUUCUCUUCGCGAGGACCCGUCGGCGUGGACCCUCUGCCGUGCUGAAGAUCCUCCUCUGGUUAGCGUACCUCAUGGCCGACUCCACCGCUGCCUACACCCUCGGCCAUCUCUCCAUCAGCAGUUCGCCGCGUGAGCAAAAGCUUGCGGUAUUCUGGGCGCCCUUCCUCCUGGUGCAUCUUGGUAGCCAGGACACCAUCACCGCCUACGCCCUUGAGGACAACAAGCUUUGGCCACGCCACCUGCUAAAUCUCAGUGUCCAAGCCUUUGGGGUUGCUUAUGUCCUCUAUAAGCAUAUCGCCGAGAUCCCCACCUUGUUGGGAUUGGCUACCAGCUUGAUGUUUGGCGUCGGUCUCAGCAAGUACGGGGAGAGGAUAUGGGCACUCAAGUGCGCCAUCCUGGACAGCAUCCGGAGCUCCAUCAGAAAACCUCAUGCUCUCCCUACUUACUCCGAUGAGCUUCAUCCCCGGGGACCAAGAAGGGCAAAAGAGCGCGAUGAAGAAGAGCUCCUUCUGUUUUCUCAUGACAUGCUCCCCCUUUGCAAGGGCGCUAUGGCUGAUUCUCCUGUGGAUUUGUUUAGGUUCCGUAUUGCAACUGGUGUGAUCUUGUCCAAAUUUUAUGUACGGAGUUGGGAAUGGAAAACUACGCUCAGGGUGGUGGAGAUGGAAUUGUCCCUGAUGUAUGACAUUAUCUACACCAAGGCAGUGGUGAUGAUCCACACUUGGUAUGGCUACCUGUUCCGUCUGGUUUCGCUCCUGGCCACUGUUGGUGCAUCCGUACUGUUUCAGUUAAGUGGCAAUAAAAUUGGUUACAGCAGACUUGAUGUUGCCAUCACUUAG